AGCUUGAAAAAAAAAAAAAAAACAACCCAGCAAGAUGGGAGCAGGGUGCUUUCCCUUCAGAAGGCCCUGCUCUGAGCGGCCCCUCUUCCCCGACCCACUCCUUCCAAGACGCAGUACUCGGCAUAGGACGCCCACCUGCCCGCCUUGCGCGGGGCUGACCUGGACAUCCCUGCCCGGGGCUCACACCCCUGCAGGACUGGGGGUAGAUGGAGCCAAAGAGGAUGUCCCCCAGGCUCUACAGACUCAGCAACUUGGGGUGGAGAAUGAGAGUGGAUCAGUCAUUGGAUUGAUGAGAAAAGUGUCGUUGAAAGAGACUACGGUUGAAGCCGGGCCACCGAACAACACAAGUAUUCACAGCACUGUUCACAGGCGCCAUAAAGGGGAAGCACUCCAGCCGUCCAUCGGCUGAUGAACGGGUGAACGAGACGUAGUGUGUCCAUCGCUAGGGAAUGCUAUCCAGCCUUAAAAAGGAGCGAGGCUCUGACACGGCACGACCUGGUGGACCUCGAGAACACUGCCGACUGAAAUACACCAGUCACUACAGGCCACACAGGGCUUCCCCGGCGGCUCAGCUGGUAAAGAG
ensembl:lncRNA